AACGCAUCUUGCGCUCCUUGGUAUUCUGAGGAGCAUGCCUGUUUGAGUGUCAUUAAUAUAUCAAUCCUCUUCAGCUUUUUGCAUGUCGAGUGUUGGAUGUGGGGGUUUUUGCUGGACUCUCUUGAGGUCAGCUCUCCUAAAAUACAUUAGCAAAACAAUUUGUUUACCGCUCAUUGGUGUGAUAACUAUCUACGCUGUUGACAGUAAAGCACAGUUUAGCUUCUAACCGUCCAUUAAAUUGGACAACCUUUUAUCAAUGUGACCUCAAAUCAGGUAGGAUUACCCGCUGAACUUAA
rnacentral:misc_RNA from 1 species